rnacentral:rRNA from 1 species
GACGAACGCUGGCGGCGUGCUUAACACAUGCAAGUCGAACGGAAAGGCCCUGCUUUUGUGUGGUGCUCGCGUGGCGAACGGGUGAGUAACCCGUGAGUAACCUGCCCUUGACUUUGGGAUAACUUCAGGAAACUGGGGCUAAUACCGGAUAGGAGCUCCUGCUGCAUGGUGGGGGUUGGAAAGUUUUGGCGGUUGGGGAUGGACUCGCGGCUUAUGAGCUUGUUGGUGGGGUAGUGGCUUACCAAGGCUUUGACGGGUAACCGGCCGUGGAGGUUGACCGGCCACAAGGGUACUGAGGUAGGGCGCAGACUCCUACAGUAGGCAGUAGGCGAGAGUAUUGUACAACGGGCGGAAGCCUGAUGCAGCAACGCCGCGUGCGGGAUGACGGCCUUCGGGUUGUAAACCGCAUUCGGCUGUGACCAAGCUUGAGUGACGGUAAUAAGUAAAGAAGCACCGGCUAACUACGUG